rnacentral:rRNA from 1 species
GGCGAACGCUGGCGGCGUGCUUAACACAUGCAAGUCGAACGGAAAGGCCCUGCUUUUGUGGGGUGCUCGAGUGGCGAACGGGUGAGUAACACGUGAGUAACCUGCCCUUGACUUUGGGAUAACUUCAGGAAACUGGGGCUAAUACCGGAGAGGAGCUCCUGCUGCAUGGUGGGGGUUGGAAAGUUUCGGCGGUUGGGGAUGGACUCGCGGCUUAUCAGCUUGUUGGUGGGGUAGUGGCUGACCAAGGCUUUGACGGGUAGCCGGCCUGAGAGGGUGACCGGCCACCUUGGGACUGCGAUACGGCCCAGACUCCUACGGGAGGCAGCAGGGGGGAAUAUUGCACAAUGGGCGGAAGCCUGAUGCAGCAACGCCGCGUGCGGGAUGACGGCCUUCGGGUUGUAAACCGCUUUCGCCUGUGACGAAGCGUGAGUGACGGUAAUGGGUAAAGAAGCACCGGCUAACUACGUG